UCAUACGACUCCGAGCGAAAUCCGCUACGGCCGGCUGCGUCAUGGGCAGGCUAUGCGGGUAAGCCAGGGUUUCGGGGGAAACGCCGAGGCCUUCCGUGAUUGAAAAGGGGCAAAAUGC
rnacentral:ncRNA from 1 species